rnacentral:rRNA from 1 species
GGAGUCGAGAAUGAAUGGGUUUUCGGGGGUUAACUGUCUCUUUUGGAUUUAGUUGAAAUUUCUAAAAAGGUGCAAAAUCCUUUAAUUCGAAAAAAGACGAGAAGACCCUUAGAGUUUUUAUUAUAAAAAGAUUAAUUCUUUUAUCGGUUUUUGCUGGGGCGGCAAAGAGACAAUAAACUCUCUUUUUACAGUUUUUAGAAGACGUGAAUCUAAAGAGACAAUAAACUACCUUAGGGAUAACAGCAUAAUUAAAUUUUAGUUUGUGACCUCGAUGUUGGACUAGGAAAAAUUUUUGGUUAGCCGCCAA